CUGCUGCCUCCCGUAGGAGUUUGGUCCGUGUCUCAGUACCAAUGUGGGGGGGUUGACCUCUCAGUCCCCCUAUGUAUCGUCGCCUUGGUGAGCCGUUACCUCACCAACUAGCUAAUACAACGCAUGUCCAUCUCUGACCACCUGAGUUUUCAACCACCGAAGAUGCCUCCGGUGAUGUUAUGGGGUAUUAGUACCAAUUUCUCGAUGUUAUCCCCCUGUCAAAGGUAGGUUACAUACGCGUUACGCACCCGUCCGCCGGUCGCCGG
rnacentral:rRNA from 1 species